rnacentral:rRNA from 1 species
ACUCAAAUGAAUUGACGGGGGCCCGCACAAGCGGCGGAGCAUGUGGAUUAAUUCGAUGCAACGCGAAGAACCUUACCUGGGUUUGACAUAUACCGGACGACUGCAGAGAUGUGGUUUCCCUUGUGGUCGGUAUACAGGUGGUGCAUGGCUGUCGUCAGCUCGUGUCGUGAGAUGUUGGGUUAAGUCCCGCAACGAGCGCAACCCUUGUCUUAUGUUGCCAGCACGUAAUGGUGGGGACUCGUAAGAGACUGCCGGGGUCAACUCGGAGGAAGGUGGGGACGACGUCAAGUCAUCAUGCCCCUUAUGUCCAGGGCUUCACACAUGCUACAAUGGUCGGUACAGAGGGCUGCGAUACCGUGAGGUGGAGCGAAUCCCUUAAAGCCGGUCUCAGUUCGGAUCGGGGUCUGCAACUCGACCCCGUGAAGUCGGAGUCGCUAGUAAUCGCAGAUCAGCAACGCUGCGGUGAAUACGUUCCCGGGCCUUGUACACACCGCCCGU